rfam:Danio rerio chromosome 4, GRCz11 reference primary assembly.
UAGCUCAGUCGAUAGAGCAUGAGACUCUUAAUCUCAGCGUCGUGGGUUAGAGCCCCAC